AUGGAUUCGACAGGUACAGACUCACGCAACCCCCGCAACGAAUCUGCACUGCAUCUCGGUAUGGCCUCCUUCCCUAGGCGCUCGGAGCUCAGUCAUCGACUGACCACUGGCACAACUACGCACAAUCGCCAUCGGCCUGGCUCAACCCUAGCCCAGCAGCUCGCCAGCUCCUCGUUGCCGGUCAUCAAGUGUGACCACUACCCGCGACAGGUGCUGCGCCGAGUUUCGACCAUGCAGCAACAUCCUGGAUGGGUGUCCUUCAAGUGCAAAAAAGAUGGGGAUGGAUGCAAGUUUUGGUAUUGGGAUGAAGAGUACAUCGAUCUAUUGAUAGCAAGAAAUUUGCUAGAUGUUCGUACACUACUUGCUAGAGUUGAGACAGGAGAUGAGAAUAGAGACGACGCAAUGUCCAAUUGUAUGGAGGCGGGGAAGAACGAAGUGUGCAAUCUCAAGAAACCGAUAGAGAACUGCAACAGUGUGUGCAACGAAGACAUAGAGAAAAUAUUAAUCCAACUAGUUGGAGCACUUAUGGAAAUUGGAUUUCUAUUAAAGUGUCUAAUUGUGGUUAUGGUUUUAUUUAGACUGAGAGAGAAUUGA
rnacentral:rRNA from 1 species